GUUGAGGGGAAUGUUGUCUGGUUCGAGACCAUUAUUCUUAAGCAAUUAAAGACCCCACCAAAGGAUGCAAUAGAGUGAUCUCGGACCAGGCUUCGUUCCUCUCAAA
rnacentral:pre_miRNA from 1 species